UAGGGAAUAUUAGAAAUGGACGAAAGUCUGAUCUAGCAACACCGCGUGUGCGAUGAAGGCCUUCGGGUCGUAAAGCACUUUUUGGAAGGAAUAGGAAGGAAUGUACUUCCAGAAUAAGUCUCGGCUAACUACGUGCCAGCAGCCGCGGUAACACGUAGGAGGCAAACGUUAUCCGGAUUUACUGGGCGUAAAGCGCGUGUAGGUGGUUCUGUAAGUAGGGCGUGAAAGCUCCCGGCUCAACUGGGAGAGGCCGUUCUAAACUGCAGAGCUAGAGGAUGGUAGAGGGAGGUGGAAUUCCAGGUGUAGCGGUGGAAUGCGCAGAUAUCUGGAGGAACACCAGUGGCGAAAGCGGCCUCCUGGACCAUUCCUGACACUCAGACGCGAAAGCUAGGGUAGCAAACG
rnacentral:rRNA from 1 species